GGAGGGGUGGCAGAACGGCUAAUGCACCGGUCUUGAAAACCGGCGCCCUCACGGGCUUCAGGGUUCGAAUCCCUGCCCCUCCG
rnacentral:tRNA from 1 species